AUGCAUUGGUGGGCUUGGUGGAAAUUAUGUUUUCCUAAAGAAGAUGGAGGGAUGGGCUUUCGUGACCUCCACUCCUUCAACUUAGCAAUGUUGGCUAAGCAAUGUUGGCGCCUGCUUGAUGAUCCAGAUUCCUUAUGUGCCAGAGUUCUCCAUGCAAAAUACUACCCCUCCGGAGACUUACUAUCAGUAGGACUGAAAAAGGGGGCCUCGUUCACUUGGCAGAGCAUCUAUGCUGGUAUUCAAACUUUUAAGCGAGGACAUAUUUGGAGAAUUGGGAAUGGAGAGAAAGUGAAUAUUUGGGAUGACCCCUGGAUUCCCUCGAGCCCGUCAAGGAAAGUCAUUACCCCUAGAGCGGAUGUCUUGAUUACAAAGGUCAAUGAGCUAAUAGGUCCUAUUACUGAAAAGUGGGAUGAAGCACUCCUCCGUGAUAUUUUUAGCCCAACAGAUGUUGCACGCAUUCUCCAAAUUCCAUUAAGCUAUAACUCAUUUGUUGAUUUUGUAGCCUGGCAUGGUACACGAUCAGGACAUUUUUCUGUUAAAACAUACCAUUUGGAGUGGAAACAUCAAUUUCAGCAUACUGGAAUGCCGCGGGCUGGGCCAUCAUCGGAGAACCCAAUAUGGUCGAUUUUAUGGAAAAUGCAAACUCCAGGCAAGGUCAAAAUUUUCUGCUGGCGAGCGCUUCAUGGUAUCCUACCACUCAAGUCUAUACUUUCUAAUAGACAUGUUGGGAGUAUUGACCAAUGCCCAAUCUAUAUGCAAGGAGCUGAGGAUGUCAAUCACUUGCUAUUUCAGUGUGGCCGUGCUGUAGAGAUGUGGCGCUUACUCGGACUAUCGGAGCUUAUCUCAGAUGCAAAGUUGGUUGAUAGAUCAGGUUCAGCAGUGUUAGAACACUCGCUAUGUUUGCCUGACAAUAAUAUGCCUAAUUUACCUUCUGUUGGUCUUAAGGAGGGCAUUGUUGUAUCUUGCUGGUACAUGUGGUGGCUAAGAAGGCAGCAGACUCACCAGAAUCAACGUCCCCCAAGUAAGAGGAGCUCUUUAGCUAUACAAGCGAUCUACCUAAAUUUUCAGAGAGCAAAAACGUUCAGGAGCAAUAAAACAAGUUGGAAUAACAUGGAAGAAACUAGCUGA
rnacentral:rRNA from 1 species